GAGGGUAUGUCUCAGUGGUAGAGUGUGUGCUUAGCAUGUAUGAGGCCCUGGGUUCAAGCCCCAGUACCUCCA
rnacentral:tRNA from 1 species